rnacentral:rRNA from 1 species
UGGAUUAGUGGCGGACGGGUGAGUAACGCGUGGAUAACCUGCCGUAUACAGGGGGAUAACACUUAGAAAUAGGUGCUAAUACCGCAUAAGCGCACGGUUCCGCAUGGAACAGUGUGAAAAACUCCGGUGGUAUACGAUGGAUCCGCGUCUGAUUAGCCAGUUGGUGGGGUAACGGCCCACCAAAGCGGCGAUCAGUAGCCGGCCUGAGAGGGUGAACGGCCACAUUGGGACUGAGACACGGCCCAAACUCCUACGGAAGGCAGCAG